UACGGGGGGGGCAAGCGUUGUUCGGAAUUACUGGGCGUAAAGGGUUUGUAGGUGGCCGGCUAAGUCAGACGUGAAAUCCCUCGGCUCAACUGAGGACGUGCGGAAGAAACUGCAGGGCUGGAGUCCGGGAGAGGAGGGUGGAAUUCCCAGUGUAGCGGUGAAAUGCGUAGAUAUUGGGAGGAACACCGGUGGCGAAGGCGGCCCUCUGGACCGGUACUGACGCUGAUGCGCGAAAGCGUGGGGAGCAAACGGG
rnacentral:rRNA from 1 species